CAAGUUCUAAACCAGCAAUGUAAAGAGCUAAGAAUUGCUUCAUGCUGAACUAGCCCAGCCCUGGGGCUGAUUAGUGGAAUCCACUGCAAGAUAAUUUGUUAUUCAUACUUAUCCAUCCACCUCCCGCUGGGCUGAGAUAAAGGUAUCCAUGCUUCAAGUGUUACAGUUUUGAGAAGGGAAAAACCAAGGGGAUGUCUUGUUUUCCUUCUGCCUGUGAAACAGCCGUGCAUUUUGGAUCAGCACUGUAAUAAAGCCUACAUUCAAAAAACAUACCCAGCACUGAUUCAUCUCCUGGAAGUUAUCAGCAGCAUCUGUUGUCUCUGGUAAAGAUGAAGAUUUUCAGCCUAAAUCACAAUACUUACUCCAUGCAGCACUUGAUUGGUCUGGGGAGGUGAUGUGAAUCCCCUCCUACAGUCAUGGCUGUUUAAUGCCGUAGUGGAAUUUUGUCUAUUUUACAGGUACAUGGAGAUUUUCUAUUACUCUCUGGUGCCAUUUCCACCAGUGCAAAAUCAGUGUCAACUGCUGCCUCCCAGCCUUUAGCUAGGCUGUUUCACAAGAUGCAGGAUAGCAAAAUUUUUUUUUUCCCCCCAGAUAAUUGGAAAAUGAAAUAAAACACAUCAUUAAGUUUCCA
rnacentral:lncRNA from 1 species